GACGAACGCUGGCGGCGUGCCUAACACAUGCAAGUCGAGCGGACCUCCCCCGACUCUUCGGAGACGGGAAAGGUUAGCGGCGAACGGGUGAGUAACACGUGGGCAAUCUGCCCCGAAGACUGGGAUAACUCCGGGAAACCGGGGCUAAUACCGGAUCUCUUGCCCCCUUCGCAUGAAAGGGGCAAGAAAGGUUGCUUUGCUUCCGCUUCGGGAUGAGCCCGCGGCCCAUUAGCUAGUUGGUGAGGUAAUGGCUCACCAAAGCAACGAUGGGUAGCCGGCCUGAGAGGGUGUCCGGUCACACUGGGACUGAGAUACGGCCCAGACUCCUACGGGAGGCAGCAGUGAGGAAUAUUGCGCAAUGGGCGAAAGCCUGACGCAGCGACGCCGCGUGGACGAUGAAGGCCUUCGGGUUGUAAAGUCCUGUCAGGAGGGACGAAGCGGUACUUGUACCGUGACGGUACCUCGGUAGGAAGCUCCGGCUAACUACGUG
rnacentral:rRNA from 1 species